AACGAACGCUGGCGGCAUGCCUAACACAUGCAAGUCGAACGAGACCUUCGGGUCUAGUGGCGCACGGGUGCGUAACGCGUGGGAACCUGCCCUUAGGUUCGGAAUAACUCCCCGAAAGGGGUGCUAAUACCGGAUAAUGUCUUCGGACCAAAGAUUUAUCGCCUUUGGAUGGGCCCGCGUUGGAUUAGCUAGUUGGUAGGGUAAAAGCCUACCAAGGCGACGAUCCAUAGCUGGUCUGAGAGGAUGAUCAGCCACACUGGGACUGAGACACGGCCCAGACUCCUACGGGAAGCAGCAGUGGGGAAUAUUGGACAAUGGGUGAAAGCCUGAUCCAGCAAUGCCGCGUGAGUGAUGAAGGCCUUAGGGUUGUAAAGCUCUUUUACCCGGGAUGAUAAUGACAGUACCGGGAGAAUAAGCUCCGGCUAACUCCGUG
rnacentral:rRNA from 1 species